AAUAGGUUUUGCUUUUUAGGGAGAUAUAUAUUCUAAGAAAAGAGCUAUUGAAUCUUCCAGAAAAAUUUAGCUAACGGAAACCAAAAUGUUUUCAUCUCAUCGGUUACUUUCGCUGAUGGUGUUUGCUCUCAUCAUCAUUCCUAUGAUUACUGGAGAAGUAGUUAAUUACGCUGAUCCGGCCCGAUGUAAGUUGGGAUGUAAAAGCAUACCAGAGUGCCAUCAACAAUGUAGACUUAAAGGCGGAGGGCGUUGUGAAGAAUUUAUUGACUAUCUACACAAUUCUACCGCAAUUUAUUGUUGUUGCGAUCUUGCUUUUAAUCAUCUCAUGAAUAAUUGAUCUCUUAUUUUAUGUGCA